GAUGAACGCUGGCGGCGUGCCUAAUACAUGCAAGUCGAGCGAACAGACGAGGAGCUUGCUCCUCUGACGUUAGCGGCGGACGGGUGAGUAACACGUGGAUAACCUACCUAUAAGACUGGGAUAACUUCGGGAAACCGGAUCUAAUACCGGAUAAUAUAUUGAACCGCAUUGUUCAAUAGUGAAAGACGGUUUUGCUGUCACUUAUAGAUGGAUCCGCGCCGCAUUAGCUAGUUGGUACGGUAACGGCUUACCAAGGCAACGAUGCGUAGCCGACCUGAGAGGGUGGUCGGCCACAUGGGAAGUGAGACACGGGCCAGACUCCUACGGGAGGCAGCAGUAGGGAAUCUUCCGCAAUGGGCGAGAGCCUGACGGAGCAACGCCGCGUGAGUGAUGAAGGUCUUCGGAUCGUAAAAAUCUGUUAUUAGGGAAGAACAAAUGUGUACGUAACUAUGCACGUCUUGACGGUACCUAGUCAGAAAGCCACGGCUAACUACGUG
rnacentral:rRNA from 1 species